rnacentral:rRNA from 1 species
UACGUAGGGGGCAAGCGUUGUCCGGAAUCAUUGGGCGUAAAGAGCGUGUAGGCGGCCUGGUAAGUCCGCUGUGAAAGUCCAGGGCUCAACCCUGGAAUGCCGGUGGAAACUGUCAGGCUCGAGUCCGGAAGAGGCGAGUGGAAUUCCUGGUGUAGCGGUGAAAUGCGUAGAUAUCUGGAGGAACACCGGUGGCGAAGGCGGCAUCCUGGACCAACACUGACGCUGAGUGAGCGAAAGCCAGGGGAGCAAACGGG